GGCCGGUUAGCUCAGCCUGGGCAGAGCGUGGUGCUAAUAACGCCAAGGUCAUGGGUUCAAGCCCCAUACUGGCCA